CCGCACCGUCAGCCGGCGGGCAGGUGCGAGCCUACAACGAGCACAGCUGGUAGGCUCCGUUGGACCUCUGUCAAUUCCGGUGAGAGCUGGCGCAUCAUUUUGGGAUUAGGAGUGAAUAGGGGAGCGAACGAGAGAGAGAGAGAGCUUCCAACUGAGCACGGGCUCUAGACCAGCAGCGACGGCGCAGCUAGAGCGCCGGUAGCCGGAGAGGAGCAGCGUGGCCCAACAGGUCCUCGAUGGGGUGGAAGCUGAGGAAGCAGGUACCCGCAACUUUGUUCAGCCCGCCGGGCAUGUGAGAGGUCGCGGUAGCAGAAGUAGUGCCUGGAGCAGCAGCAGGCGGCAGCUCAUGGUGAUGAAGCCAGUUGGUGGCCGGAGUGGCAGCGGAGGAAAUCUAUGCGCCUCGGUCUCCUAGAGCUCCUUCUAAGAUGUACCUCAAGCUGAAGCUCCUCAUCAAUCCUCCAGGGUACGUCCUCCGGAACGGAAAAGCUAGCAACGAUGAAAACACGAUCGGAAGAAUUCCGUUUGAACUAAUUGUAACACAGACAUGAAUCUAUAAUAACGAAGGCAACUGAGCACAGAAGCUGGUAAACAUAAGCUCGGAAGCUCCGGGGACCGAACAUUAUACUACGAACAUACUGAAUAAAAUAAACAUCUCAAUAC
rnacentral:rRNA from 1 species